CUGGAAUUAAUGAGCAGCACAUUUGAAGCCUGGUUUUCUCUCACCUUGGAUCUUGUGACUGAGUUAUCCUGUGUCUAAGAAGUUAUCAGAGCUUCAUUUGAGACAGUCCUGAACUGAAAUCAUGAAAUCUGAAUUCCUUGAUAUACAAAAAAGUUUUAGCUGUGUAUGAACCUGAAUACUGAGAUACAGGGAGCUACCUUCAGUUUCAACUGAGGAAAGAAAUUUGGACAUUCUGGACAGGGGCCACAGGAGCUGGAAUCAGAAUAGAAUCUCAACAGAGGUUAAGUGCAAGGAUCGCACUGAGAGCUAGAAACUGUGAGCUGUAUUCCCAUUGCCUGCUAUGGAACAUGGGAGCAAUGACAGCAUGUCAGGUCAAGAGACUGGUGAGCAAUUCUGACCGCCUGUUAUGCCAAGUUGCUAGACCUUGGCUCCCUUUGCAGUCAGUGGAAAAAAAGUCAUCUUGGUACGCAAGUUAGGCAAGGUAGAGAAAGUCUUACCAGCCUGAUGCAUUGUGACUGCUGCUCACAAAAGGUACCCACACCUCAACAGUGCCUGAGAGAAUUCUGAUUAUGACAUAGGCUGAUUUAUGCUUCUGAACACACCUGGCUAGCCUCAACCGUGAAUUCUGUGUCUACAGAGAAGCGGCAUAAUUGGAGUGUAAGAGGACAUCUCAGUUUUAAAUAAAAAGCCUCUCCAUAUAAAUUCAGACACACUCCUGCUGCUGCAGAAGGACAUUAAUAUGGAAGUCAGACAAGCACGCAUGGACUUAUGAAACUGCAUUUACUAUCCAACCAAGGCAAGGAGCCCUGCUGAAUUCAGGAAGAAGUCCUGGAGAGGUGCUGCCUUCUUCCAAGAUGUCAGGGUAGUAUUUAAUUU